rnacentral:rRNA from 1 species
UACGUAGGCAGCGAGCGUUGUUCGGAGUUACUGGGCGUAAAGGGUGUGUAGGCGGUCAGGUAGGUCCGUUGUGAAAACUCGAGGCUCAACCUCGAGACGCCGAUGGAAACCAUCUGACUAGAGUCCGGAAGAGGAGAGUGGAAUUCCUGGUGUAGCGGUGAAAUGCGCAGAUAUCAGGAAGAACACCCGUGGCUAAGGCGGCUCUCUAGUACGGUACUGACGCUGAGACGCGAAAGCGUGGGGAGCGAACAGG